rnacentral:lncRNA from 1 species
AAUUGCAGGCCACUUUUAAUUCUGUGGUCAAAUUAAUUAUUUCGUCUAAUAAUUACCAUAAUUUUACAAAACGAAGAAACAACCCAUAUACAGAAGUUUGAUUCUACUCGUAACUUGAUUCUUACGGAAUCGUGUCCUCAUUAUUUCUUCAAAGCUACUUUUGAGAUGAUCAUCGAACGCUAAAGCGAAUUAAACCUUAAUUGGCACUUAGCGUUUUAUCCAAUCUCUUCUGUUUGUUCUAUUAAUUUCUUUUAUUUUGUUUUCUUAUUCUCUUUCAGUUUCAGUACUCGAUGGGGUCGGUGCAUGGGUCACAAUGAUUUUAUGAUGCUCUAGAGAUCAACAAUCACGCGCUUUCACAUAAACUCUGCACUAUAAACAAUUUCCUCUCAAAUAUUCUCAUCAUACAAAAAUAAAAAUCGUGAUAUUGUUUUCAGAUUUCAGAUUCUUUAACAUGAUCACUUCUCAUCGUCUUUUCAUCACUUUCUUUUGCAUUCUUCUAAUACUACUUCCCAACGUAGUACGAGGAGAAUGCACGUGCGAUCCUGAAGACGAUGAUCGAGACAAGACUCAAGCCUUAAAAUAUAAACUCGCCGCCAUCGCUUCGAUACUCGUGGCCGGAGCCAUCGGAGUUUUACUUCCGGUCCUCGGAAAAACUAUCAAGGCACUAAGUCCGGAGAGAAAUAUUUUCUUCCUAAUCAAGGCCUUCGCCGCCGGAGUUAUAUUAUCGACGGGGUUCAUCCACGUGCUUCCCGACGCCUUCGAGAACUUAACGUCGCCCUGCCUCGAUGAACAUCCAUGGGGGGAUUUUCCGUUCACCGGAUUCGCUGCCAUGGUUGCUGCUAUCGGGACUCUGAUGAUUGAUGCUUUUGCAACUUCUUAUGCGACUUCUUAUUAUCGCAAGUCUCACUUUGGUGAAGCGGAGAAUAACGUAUCAGAUGAAGAGAAAGUUGGGGAGCAUGCAGGUCACGUGCAUGUUCAUACCCAUGCAACUGAUGGGCAUGCUCAUGGAUUUCUUGAAUAUUCCGGUGAAUCGGAGCUUCUACGACACCGUGUCAUAUCUCUGGUAUAACUUAUUUAUUUAUUUUUAAUUUUUCAUGCACAUAUAAAACGAUGGUGAAUUUUUAUUUAUUUUUUUGAAGUUUCAUUUUGGUUAUUUUUUUCAUUAGGUUUUGGAGUUGGGAAUUCUUGUGCACUCGGUAAUAAUUGGAAUUUCCUUGGGAGCUUCUGAGAGUCCAAAAACCAUUAAGCCUUUGGUUGCAGCGUUGACUUUUCAUCAAUUCUUUGAAGGAAUGGGUCUUGGUGGUUGCAUUACGCAGGUAAUUAGGAUUUUCUUUUUUAUGAUUAAAUUAAGUUUGACCAAUUUGACAGUUUUCCAUUUUUUCUCAUUAAUAUUGUUUUUACUUUGUAAGUUUUAGUUAAAAUGCUUCAUACAUGUACAUGGUGCUAACUAGCCAUAAGAAUUAAUUAUCAAAGCACUUUUUAUUUUGGAAAACUUUUUUUUGGUUAGAAAAAGGAAAAACUUAUUUGAAGUCUUAAAAUUCUCUGUUUUUUUUUUUUUACGCUGUUGACUAUAUGUGUGUACACAUAUGUAAUACUAAAGUCUUUUUGUGACAAUAUCCACCUAUGUACAAUCAAGUGGACAAUCUGGCUCCAAAUUUCAGUAGUAAUUGAUGUUAACAAUUUUGUUUUAACGUGUUCGUUUUUAUAGGCAAAAUUCAAGUCUCGAGGAGUUGCAAUAUUGGCCUUGUUCUUCUCUUUGACGACCCCAGUUGGGAUAGCAAUAGGCAUUGGAAUAUCAAGUGUUUAUGACGAAAAUAGCCCCACCGCUCUUAUUGUUGAAGGAAUAUUCAAUGCAGCAGCAGCCGGAAUCCUAAUAUACAUGUCCUUGGUGGAUCUUCUUGCUGCAGAUUUUAUGAAUCCAAAGAUGCAAACCAAUAAAAGGCUUCAGUUUGGAGCAAAUGUUUCUCUUCUUUUAGGCGCUGGUUGCAUGUCUUUGUUAGCCAAAUGGGCUUAAAAUUCAUUCAGAUUUUGUCUACAAUUUUUCUUCAUCCAAUAGUUUAAUUAAUUUGCGGCAGUUUUUGUACGGACAUUUUUUUUUUUUAAUUUUACCAUUUAAUUAUUCGCCACAAAAGUUUAUAAUUUUAAAUAAAUUGACUAAUUGCCCCUCUUUUUGACACUUUUUCAUGGAAUGCAAAAGUCCUGUGCCCCGAGUGAGGGGAAAACAAUAAAAAUAAAUAAAAAGACACUCAAGACACAUGAAAUUCUAAUUUGGGCAAAUAUUAUUCCAAUAUGAUAGCCCAAUCGCUUAGCCUCUUUUUGUUUUGGCACCCUACCAACUCUUUUAAAACCCUUUCACUUAUUUGCUCCUUUUUCCGUUUAUUACAAUAAGAACCUUAUUUUAAAAUUUCUUCAUCAAACAUGGAAACCAGCUAUCCAAUCGUCCUCUUCGAACCCCGUAAUCCUAUAUAUAUAUAUAUAUAUAUAUAUAUAUAUUCUUUCUGAUUCUUCUUAUUCUCUCACUCUUGUUUCCAUUUUUUUUUCGCCUUCUCUCAUCUUUAGAUUCUUUUAAUCUAUUUUCAUUGCUUCCGAAAAUAAAAGAAAUAAAAAAUUUUAAUCAAACGUAUAAAUUAAUGAAAUUGUUAAUUUGUUGUACUGCAAAUACCAAUUAAAACUCGCAAUUCUCACUAACGAAAAUUUACUGGGGCAAUGAAAAUAGAAAAAAAAGUAUUACUUUAAAACUCCAAACAAAAAAUGUAACAAUUUAUUUAAUAUCUAUUUGUUAAGUACCCAUUCUGAUUUUCUAAUAGUGUUUGUAACGAGUCUUUGAGAUAUUAUUAUUAUUUGGAAACUUGAUUCUUUCUCUCUCUUCCCUUCCCCGGGGAACAGCUAGGGUUUGUAGUCGCUAUUUUGGAAUUCCAAUAAGUUGGGUGAAUUCUCUGAUAACAGAAGAAAAUAUGUAUUAAUCUAGGGGUCACAUGUUUGUCCUUUGAUGCAAUUUUGCUGGAGACUACAAUUGUAAAAUACUCAAAAGGUGUUAUAAGAGUAUAAUGAAAGGAAGCCAUUAGUCCAACUUCUAACGAAAAUUGGAUGUACUAUGUUUGUUUGGUUUAGCCUAAAUGCCUAAUGGGUUUUGUUUAAAAAAAAAAUAAAAAAUACUACAACAUUUUUAAGUUAUAUCAUUCAUCCACACUAAAUUUAUAAUUUAUAUUAUUCAUCCACCAAAUCAUUAGCUUCCAUUAGAAAGUAAUGAGGUCAUAAGGGUAAUUUAGAUAUUUAACAUGCUAAAUAAAAAAAUAGAGAAAUUAACAGUCUGCCUUAAGUUUAAUUAGUCAGUUAUAAAAAACAUUACAAAAGUUUAAAUUCGUUUAAUUUUCCACCCUAAAUUUGUAAUUUGUAUCGAUCAUCCACCAAAACAUUAACGGUUGUUUACAAUUAAUGACGUCACAAGGGUGAUUUAGGCAUUUAAUAUACUAAACAUAAAAUUAAAAUAAUAUUUUAAAAUAUAAAAAUAAAAAAUUCAUUUACAUAGCCAAUAUUCCAUUAUAUACACUUAAAACUCUAUUUUUUUUCCUUAAUAGAAAAAAAAAAUCUGAUUCGACCUCUCAAUUUGUCUUCACCAAUUUGCAUAAUCAAACUAAAUCCACAAAUUAUCCUAAGUCCUAAUUCAUGAAGACCCAAUCAACCCAUCGUUAAAUUUGAUUUCAUAAUUUUAAAAAGCUAAAUUUUAUUGUAUUAUUAAUCGUGUGAAGUAAAAAUAUCCUUGAAUUCAAGAGUAAAAUGGUUAUUUUAUUUAAAUUCUAUUAAACAUUUGAAAUCAUUAUCUUAGCCUUUUUAUUUAAACUCUCUACUCACACUAAUUAAAGAUCUAAACUACCUAAUGUUUUAUUCAAGAAUGAGGCAACAAAUAAGUAUUAAGAUUUAGUGAGAGUAAAAUUUUUGCUGAGCACUGAAUUAAGAUUAUAAUUAUUUAAAUUUUUAUUUUUUUAUUUAUCUUGUUUAACAAUUAUUGAUUCAAUACUAAGUGAUUGUUUGGUAUGACUUAUUUAAUAACCAUAAGUGCUUAUUUAAUCCUAUAAGCUCUUAUCAUAAUUUUUGUUGUUGUUUGGUUGUUUUACUAAUAGAGAUUUUGAAGCUUAAAUAAGCUAUAUUACAUCUACUAGUAAAAGCUCAAAUUUUGAGCUUUUGGGAGUAGAUGUUAAAUUUUUUUUUUAAAUGUCAAAAUAUCUAAAAUAUCCUCUAUUUAUUUAACAAUCUUAUUUAUUUUUUUCAUAAUAUAACUUUAAAAAGCUUGCCUAUUAAAGUAAUUUCAUAAAAUUUUAACUAAAACUCUUAUUGACAACCAAACAACUAAAUUGUUUUUUGUAAAAGCGCUAUUUACAAAAGCUCUACUAACUAAAACUCUAUUUAAACAAACUCUGUUCGAAAAGUUGUACCAAACAGAGCCUAAGUAAAAACUCAGCUCAGCAACCCUUAUCCACAACAAACAAUAUCCAUCUUUCAAAUUCCAGUACAAAGUCUCACAUAUACUCUCCAUAAAAGAAACAAUUUACUCUCAAAUAUCUUCGUACCAAAAAUCAUAAAACGGCUUCAGGCUGCAAAUUCUUUCCAUGAUCACUUGAUUCAAUUCUCGUGGUCAUCACUAAACUCCGAUGGCUCCGGCUACGAGGAUCACACGUGCAUUCUCCUAUUACUUUGUGAUCCUCGUAUCGGAGCCGUCGGAUUUUUCUUCCGGUCUUCGGAAAACCAUCCCGGUAUUAAGUCCGGAGAAAAAAAAAAGUUCCUUGCCUUUGCCGUCGGAGUUAUAUUAUCAACCGGGUUCAUUAACGUGCUUCCCAACUCCUUUGAUGCCUUGACAUCGCAGUGCCUCGAUGAAAUCCCGUUCACCGGAUUGAUUGAUGGUUGUUGCUAUCAGGACUCUGAUGACUUAUGCUUUUGCAACUUCCUAAGCUACUUCUUAUAAUCGUCGUGAUAAAACUGAGAAUCACAAUUGAGCAGAUGAAGAGAAAGUUGAAAGUUGGAAGCAUGCAAACUCAUGGCUCCGUUGAAUGUUCCGGUGAAUCGGAGCUUCUAUGAAGCCAUGUCAUAUCUCUGGUUAUAAUUUAUUAUAUUUGUCAUAUGAUAAUUUACUAUAUUUUCUUUUAUUUCGUGCGUACGUGAAUAUUUUUAUGAUAAAUUAAUUAACUUUGUUUUUUUUUUUUAUAUAAAUAAUUGGAAUUUCAGUGGGUGCUUAAGCCUUCAUCAAUUCUUUGAAGGAGUGGUGCCGGUUGCACGUCUUUGUCUUUGUGUUUGUUAGCCAAAUGCGCAAGUUUAUAAUUUUUUUUAAUCGAAUUGUUACUAUUUAAUUAUUGGCUACGAGAGUUUAUAAUUUUAAGUACAUUGCUGUUUGAGCUCUGUUGUAAGUGGAUUGCUUUAUGAGUUCCGUCGUUGGUGAGAAAUUGCUCCUCUUUUGAAUCCAAAUUUAAUGGAUACUUACCAAAAAAAAUAAUAAAAAAAAAAGAGAGAGAAAACGAAGACACUCAGACACGUGAAUUGUAGCAGAAUUAGUAAGAGAAUUUGCUAAUUCUGCUAGAAUUCAACAUAGGAUUGAUUAUUUGUAAAUAAUAUUCUCUUACUUUCCCUGAAGAACUUUACUCAACGGUGAGUUUUUAAAUAAUAAUUUUUAAAAGAUGAUCAAGAUCAUAUGAUGACGUUGAAGAAGAAGCUGACUGCUUAACAGUUGUGGUUUUAAAACUAAUAUGAUACAAUCUCACACUUAUAUUAUGAAUCAUCCUUAAUAUAUUUAUUAUAUUUAUUGAAAUUAUUAUUUAAAAGGUGUAAGAGAAUUUUUGUGAUUGCUAACGUGUCCUUUGUAAGGGAUUGGAGAAAUUGUACCCACGUCCUUCUUGAAGUAUCAAGAGAUAAAACAAAAAGUCGUGUGUCAGCUUUUGAUGGCUCUAGGUCUAGGAAACAACAUCUCAAAGAAAAAGAAUUCCGAAAAAUAUGUUAAAGGUCCACAUUUAAAGAGUACAGUGUAGGAGGAACCUGAAAUGAAGGGAGGCAAUAAGGAAGAUAUGCUGAGUGUUCUGCACAGAUUAUUUGGUACACUGACCAAGACUGAGAUCGAAUUUGUAGCAGCUAUAUGUUGGGUUUACGUGGCAUGCAAGGAACAAAUUCAUCUUUGAGGGGAAACUUAUCCCUAUAUAAUUGCAGGCCACUUUUAAUUCUGUGGUCAAAUUAAUUAUUUCGUCUAAUAAUUACCAUAAUUUUACAAAACGAAGAAACAACCCAUAUACAGAAGUUUGAUUCUACUCGUAACUUGAUUCUUACGGAAUCGUGUCCUCAUUAUUUCUUCAAAGCUACUUUUGAGAUGAUCAUCGAACGCUAAAGCGAAUUAAACCUUAAUUGGCACUUAGCGUUUUAUCCAAUCUCUUCUGUUUGUUCUAUUAAUUUCUUUUAUUUUGUUUUCUUAUUCUCUUUCAGUUUCAGUACUCGAUGGGGUCGGUGCAUGGGUCACAAUGAUUUUAUGAUGCUCUAGAGAUCAACAAUCACGCGC